rnacentral:lncRNA from 1 species
GAGGUACAGCGUAGUUUUGUCCUCCGCGAAGUCCCUCAGGCUCAGAGCACAGCCGUGUAAUUGUCUGCGUCUCUCCCGCGCUCAAUCAGGGGCUUGCUUUGGAACCCCGGUGCCUGCUAGUGUUCUGCAUACAGUGAGCAUCCAAAAAAUGGUAACUUGUUUACUUUUACUGAACAAAUUGUUUUUCUUAUGUCCAGUCUAAUGCUGGGCAACCAUGGAAUGAACCACGAAGAUAAGUAUCUCAUGGGCUUUUUCUUCUGGGAGCUCAGGCCAGCUGGGGCCAUUACAACUUAAAACUUGGGCGAUCCAGAAGUAAUACGAAACAUUUGUGAAAUAUUUUCUGUAUGAAACUUUCUAAGAAUUAUCUCAACUUCAAUAGGUUGAGUAGGGAGAGAGCAUCCCAGAUAGAGGAAAUGGGAGAAUCCUAAAGGAGGGUGAGAAAGCUCCAGCCGUGCCUGGGGCUCACAGGUUGUUUGUAACUGUGGUGGUUAAAGUAGCCAAGAGGCAGGUUGCAGUGGCCCCAAAAUGCCAGCCUAGGGAGUUCAGAUUUUCUUCAUCUUGCGGGAUGGAUUAAAAGGGCAGCAUUUGCAGUCAAGAACAUUAGGCCAGGGCAAGCUAGGGUUGCACAUUCAGACCCAGUUUUGUGCCUUUCGCCCUCCUCUAGCCUCCUCCUGGGCUCUCUGGCAGUAAGACCAGCUGCAAACAUGGAUCCUUACAAGUGACUCAGCUGGGAUCCCUGGCCCCUCUGAACAGAAGGCUCAAGGCCAGAGUGUAAGCAGUGUUUUAUGCAAACUGCGGCUGUCACCGCCGCCAGCUGGCAUCAUGCAGGCAUUAGUUCAUUCAGUGCUUACCAAGCACCUACAAUGGUACCCAUCACUGCCCAAGGUCUUGGCUUUAUUCAGUCCUCAGGCUUGUAUUGCAUGCACUUUCUAUGCCUUUUGAAAGAGCCUGUCCUCACACCCUUCUCUCUCAGAGGCAAGAGAUCUAUUUUCAUCACCACCCUCAUUUAAGUCUCCCAGCUACCAAGGCCAAGGUUUGGAGCAACAGCCUAAAACACCAGCUGGAAGGCUGGGCACUAUGCACAGGCAACACACAGGGUAAAGAGCGUGUCUUCUUUGUAAGGCACAAGUACUCGAGCUGUUCCCUGGCUGUGUCCCUGGCAGGGAGAAGAGGGAGGAUGUGUUCAUGGGGGUGUACAGUAUGCCUUACCUUGCUGUACCCAGCAGGGUUGAGCAGAAAACGCUUCGUCCCAGUGCAGCAAUCUGUGAACACUCUUAACCAGCAGGUGUGUGUCUGUGUGUGUGUAUGUGUGGGAGGAGCGAAUGAUGAGGAGGAAGGGACUCUUGGAAGGUGACUAAGGGCUCCAGCUGGAGCUCUCCAGAGUCUCCCAGAUACAUGGAGAUCAAGUCUUGUCAAGGUGAAAUCUUCACCAUUGGGCAGGGGGCA